GAAGAACAGAUAAUAUCUGCUCAUUUCCUAAUUUCACCGGAAGAUGGCAGUCUAUAUGCCUCGUGGGCAGAUGAAUAAACAAGGACCAGAAAAUUGUGAUGUUGCAGCUCUUUUAAAUCUCAUUAAUUUCUGCGAUCACUUCAGCUUUGUUGAACGUCGAAAACUAAUUGAGGUAAUUAAAUGUCGUAAUGAGUUGAUGCAUUCCACUGAAAUGAGUGUGUCUGUCGAAUGGUUAGAUAACAGCGUGCAGAAAAUUCUUGACCUUCUACAGGAAUUUCAACACGUUGCUGAAACAAAAACAACAAGCAAAAUAAUACAAAAGAUUAUAUCAUCCAGCUGGAAAGUUCAAAUAUCAGGAAUGGAUAUGGUUGAUGAUGCCCAUGCGUCGGAUGAAGAGCUGAAUGCUGAGGAGAUCCACAAUGUUGAACUGAGACUAGUUAGAGAAAAACUGCAGGAACUGUGUUUCAUACUAGAAGAACAAAAGGAAUUACAGGAACAGGAUUUAAACUGUUUGAGAAGAUUCAAAGAAUUUUUGAAAGAUAACCGAGAGUUGGAGAGUGAACUCCAUGACGAGCUGCAGCAGUUGUACAAACUGGAGAUGAAGUUAAACAGUGUCCCAGAGCCUGUUGCUGAAGAUGAGGGCGAAAAGGAAUAGUUCCAGUACCAGCACAUCAGGAGGUGCCAAAGAUUGUUCCUGAUGGUCUCGCAAUUACUUUGGAUCCAUCGGGAGGUUUAAAUACGGACAGAGAUUCCAUUGAACCAGAAGCCACAGACAUGCAGAAUUUCUCUUCAGAGUUUGCCGUGAGCCAAGUAAGAAAAAA